CCUACGGGUGGCAGCAGUGAGGAAUAUUGGUCAAUGGACGCAAGUCUGAACCAGCCAUGCCGCGUGCAGGAUGACGGCUCUAUGAGUUGUAAACUGCUUUUGUACGAGGGUAAACGCAGAUACGCGUAUCUGUCUGAAAUUAUCGUACGUAUAAGGAUCGGCUAACUUCGUGCCAGCAGCCGCGGUAAUACGGAGGAUUCAAUCGUUAUCCGGAUUUAUUGUGUUUAAAGGGUGCGUAGGCGGUAGGAUAAGUUAGAGGUGAAAUCCCGAGGCUCAACUUCGGAAUUGCCUCUGAUACUGGUAGGCUAGAGAGUAGUUGCGGUAGGCGGAAUGUAUGGUGUAGCAGUGAAAUGCUUAGAGAUCAUACAGAACACCGAUUGCGAAGGCAACUUACCAAGCUACUUCUGACGUUGAGGCGCGAAAGCGUGGGGAGCAAACAGGAUUAGAUACCCUGGUAGUC
rnacentral:rRNA from 1 species